UCUGGAUAAAGUGACUGAUUUAUAUUGCAAUAUGUCAAACGCAUCCCUCCGGGCCAUCAUGCGGACUUUCGUUAUGAACCGGAGAUUUUAUAUCGCUGAAUAUAUUAACCAACAAUCCAGUUCGCAGAGUGCUCAGGACGCAAAUGGCGGCAAAGCGACGGCUCCUGCAGCCGAAAUGGAAAGAAGUUUGGCGCCUGGUUUGACCGAGACAAACGAGAGCAGUCCGGAUUCUGAAGAAUCAGUGAUUCCGCCGCCAUCUUCCUCUAUAACCGGAAUUGAAAAUUGUACGAGGAAUCAAAGGUUUCGUGAAAUCAAUCACGGAAAACAGUAACUAAAAUACUUACCAAGGAAACAGUUUACCAAGGAAACACAAAUACGAAAUCGAGACAAUGAUCAAAAACGACAAGCUGAAUGUGAUAUGUUCGAGGUUUCCCGAAUAUUUCCGGAGCCCAAACUCAACGAUUCCUGUGGAGAAUCUGGAUAAAGUGACUGAUUUAUAUUGCAAUAUGUCAAACGCAUCCCUCCGGGCCAUCAUGCGGACUUUCGUUAUGAACCGGAGAUUUUAUAUCGCUGAAUAUAUUAACCAACAAUCCAGUUCGCAGAGUGCUCAGGACGCAAAUGGCGGCAAAGCGACGGCUCCUGCAGCCGAAAUGGAAAGAAGUUUGGCGCCUGGUUUGACCGAGACAAACGAGAGCAGUCCGGAUUCUGAAGAAUCAGUAAUUUCGCUGUCUAGAUCGGAGGAGACAAACGAGAGCAGUCCGGAUUCUGAAGAAUCAGUGAUUCCGCCGCCAUCUUCCUCUAUAACCGGAAUUGAAAAUUGUACGAGGAAUCAAAGGUUUCGUGAAAUCAAUCACGGAAAACAGUAACUAAAAUACUUACCAAGGAAACAGUUUACCAAGGAAACACAAAUACGAAAUCGAGACAAUGAUCAAAAACGACAAGCUGAAUGUGAUAUGUUCGAGGUUUCCCGAAUAUUUCCGGAGCCCAAACUCAACGAUUCCUGUGGAGAAUCUGGAUAAAGUGACUGAUUUAUAUUGCAAUAUGUCAAACGCAUCCCUCCGGGCCAUCAUGCGGACUUUCGUUAUGAACCGGAGAUUUUAUAUCGCUGAAUAUAUUAACCAACAAUCCAGUUCGCAGAGUGCUCAGGACGCAAAUGGCGGCAAAGCGACGGCUCCUGCAGCCGAAAUGGAAAGAAGUUUGGCGCCUGGUUUGACCGAGACAAACGAGAGCAGUCCGGAUUCUGAAGAAUCAGUGAUUCCGCCGCCAUCUUCCUCUAUAACCGGAAUUGAAAAUUGUACGAGGAAUCAAAGGUUUCGUGAAAUCAAUCACGGUUCAACGCGGUCCUCUGGAGAGGAGUCAUCGUUUUUUCGCA
rnacentral:misc_RNA from 1 species